GUAGUCAUAUGCUUGUCUCAAAGAUUAAGCCAUGCAUGUCUAAGUAUAAAUAAAUUUAUAUUGUGAAACUGCGAAUGGCUCAUUAAAUCAGUUAUGAUCUACGUGACAUAUUCUUUACUACUUGGAUAACCGUGGUAAUUCUAGAGCUAAUACAUGCAAAAAAACCCUGACUUCGGAAGGGGUGCACUUAUUAGAUAAAACCAACGCGGGGUAAAACCUGUCUUCUUGGUGAUUCAUAAUAAUUAAGCGGACCGCAUGGCCUUGUGCUGGCGACGGUCCACUCGAUUUUCUGCCCUAUCAUGGUUGAGAUUGUAAGAUAGAGGCUUACAAUGCCUACAACGGGUAACGGGGAAU
rnacentral:rRNA from 1 species